rnacentral:tRNA from 1 species
GGUUCCGUAGAGUAGUGAUUAGCACAUCUGCUUUACACGCAGAAGGUCUUGGGUUCCAGCCUCAGCGGAGCCA